rnacentral:ncRNA from 1 species
ACCAUCUGUUGGAUUAUGACUGAACGCCUCUAAGUCAGAAUCCUUGCUAGAACGCAACGAUAAUUACCUCCGGAGAAUCUUAGGCGAACAAGGAUAGAGAACGGGCUUGCCCGCUCUCCUGCGUCCCAAUGUGCCAAGAGGGACAACAACCCUCAAGGCACUAAAGUAUAUCAAAGUUUAAAAUUUCUGGAGAUAAAUCCUUUGCAGACGACUUAAAUAAAGAACGGGGUAUUGUACGUUGUAGAGUAGCCUUGUUGCUACGAUCUUCUGAGAUUAAGCCUUUGUUCUACGAUUUGU